rnacentral:lncRNA from 1 species
CUGGGGUGUCACGCAUACUCACGACCUCACUGGUGACCCAACAAUGCGUGCAUCUGUUUAACUAAUAUGAAUCCAGCCCUUGCUCUAUGACACAUAAUAAAAUGGCCCUGAGUAAUGAAAGGCAAAUAAGACACUGUUCCUCAGCCAGGGCCACACAAUCUAGAGGAAAAACAAAAACAGAAACAUCAACACCAUCAAGGAGAAAUUCUUCGGCAGAGAAGACAUCCAUGGAUCUCUUUGUUGGAUCGCUACCUCUGCACAGAAGUUACCUGGAUGAUUUUUAUGGUUGGCAGACCUGGCCAAACAGAGGACAUUCCUGCUCAGUGAGAAGCUCCCUUCUGCCGUGGCAGAGUUUUCUGGCCAUGAGAGUCUGGCCUCAUUCCUCAGCUAAUAUUACUAGAGGAAAAAGACCUGUGAUAUUCACUCUACAAAAAGAAAGGGAAGGGGGAGAAAGGGGAGAUGUAUAGUCAGCCCUCCCUAUCUGAAGAUUCUGCAUCUGUCGAUUCAACAAAUCAUGGAUAGAAACUGGGAAAACUGCACCUGUACUGAACACAUAUAAACAUUUUUUCUUGUCAUUAUUCCUUAAAUAAUACAGUAUAAGAACUAUUUACACAGUAUUUGCAUUAAAUUAAGUAUCAUAUGUAAUCCAGAGCUAUAUACAGGAGGAUGUGCAUAGGUUCUAUGCAACUACUGUGCCAUUUUAUAC